rnacentral:rRNA from 1 species
GACGAACGCUGGCGGCGUGCUUAACACAUGCAAGUCGAGCGGAUGACGGGAGCUUGCUCCUUGAUUCAGCGGCGGACGGGUGAGUAAUGCCUAGGAAUCUGCCUGGUAGUGGGGGACAACGUUUCGAAAGGAACGCUAAUACCGCAUACGUCCUACGGGAGAAAGCAGGGGACCUUCGGGCCUUGCGCUAUCAGAUGAGCCUAGGUCAGGAUUAGCUAGUAGGUGAGGUAAUGGCUCACCUAGGCGACGAUCCGUAACUGGUCUGAGAGGAUGAUCAGUCACACUGGAACUGAGACACGGUCCAGACUCCUACGGGAGGCAGCAGUGGGGAAUAUUGGACAAUGGGCGAAAGCCUGAUCCAGCCAUGCCGCGUGUGUGAAGAAGGUCUUAGGAUUGUAAAGCACUUUAAGUUGGGAGGAAGGGCAGUAAGUUAAUACCUUGCUGUUUUGACGUUACCGACAGAAUAAGCACCGGCUAACUCUGUGCCAGCAGCCGCCGUAACAC